GACGAACGCUGGCGGUGUGCUUAACACAUGCAAGUCGAACGGAAAGGCACUGCUUGCAGGGUGCUCGAGUGGCGAACGGGUGAGUAACACGUGGGUGAUCUGCCCCUUACUUUGGGAUAAGCCUGGGAAACUGGGUCUAAUACUGGAUAGGACCAUGCUGUAGGUGGUGUGGUGGAAAGAUUAGUUUCGGUAAGGGAUGAGCUCGCGGCCUAUCAGCUUGUUGGUAGGGUAAUGGCCUACCAAGGCGUCGACGGGUAGCCGGCCUGAGAGGGUGGACGGCCACAUUGGGACUGAGAUACGGCCCAGACGCCUACGAGAGGCAGCAGUGGGGAAUAGUGCACAAUGGGCGCAAGCCUGAUGCAGCGACGCCGCGUGGGUGAUGACGGCCUUCGGGUUGUAAACUCCUUUCAGCCAUGACGAAGCCCUUGUGGUGACGGUAGUGGUAGAAGAAGCACCGGCUAACUACGUG
rnacentral:rRNA from 1 species